GGACGUAGCUCAGCUGGUAGAGCAUCACCUUGCCAAGGUGAGGGUCGCGGGUUCGAAUCCCGUCGUCCG
rnacentral:tRNA from 1 species